UUGAAGAACCUUGUCUUUAUUUACAGGAGGUCUGAAUGUUUCUGUGCUGUAACUUCCAUGUUCAUUGAUAAUGGCUGCAUUUUAACCAAUGAUGAUGAUGUUUAUUAAUUGAACAGGUUGAAGGUCAAAGAUGAUGAAAUGAAGAUUUAAAUAACACCAAUUGAGAAGACAACUUAAAUGAAACAUUGCCUUACCACUGCAAUUGAAAUACACAUGAAAUUCAGCUACUGCCUAACACUUGGUUCUCCAGAUCUAGUUGGCCCAUUAGGAGCUCUCUGCUCUGAUUUACUUUCCAUGUUUUUGUGCAAGAUCCUUCAAGCUGAGAUUUACAGAUAUAAUUUACAAUCCCCGUAACAACCCCACCACUGUUAUACUUUACUAGAACAUCUAUCUUUCAACCCAAGCCAAACAAAAACUUAGAUACUUUCGGACAUCUUCUGAAACAUUAAAAAAAAAAAUAAAUAUAUAUAUUUUGACUUCUUUAUGCAGCCCAACAUGUGUAUAGUGAAACACUCAUUUAUCCCAUUUUUAAAAACUAAGAUGAAAUACCAUUAAACAUUUAAGCCAUUUUACAACAAGAUUUAAGAACAGGCACACUGCAAAAAAUAUUUCAACUGUAGUUCAGUAGAACAAACACUAAGAGAUACAGCAAGAAAAGGAAAUGGCUUUCUUUUCAGGAGUUGACAACUAAAUAUUGUAAUUCUUUAGAGAGCACUUGAAAAAGGGCAAGUAAUUUGAAAAAUGGUACUAACCUUUAAAGCCAAGUACUAACACGCUCCUGCAUUUGGUAAGGGAUAUGCCCUCCCCUCAGAACUGGAAUGGCUUUGCAUCUUUGCAAACCAGUUAAGGCUGACACCUUUUUUUUGUCAUUUAAUGCACACUGCAGAAAAACAAAUGAUGAAACAGUUCACAGCCCUUGCAUCAAAUUUUGUAAGAACUCAGAAUAAACAAAGAUCCAAAACACAGUCAUGCAGCAUAAAGUAAUGACAACAUUCUAUAUUCACUAAGUAAAAGAAACCACUAUUAUAAACAGGUCAAUUUUGACACCUGUUCCCAUCAAGGUAAAACUCUUUUCAAAACUAUAACCAAGAGAAGUGGUCUCUAAAGUAAAUUGCCUGCACCCCAGUGGAUGUGCAAGUCAAUCCAUUUGGGUGCAAGAAGAAAGUAUAUUUUAUACCAUUAAUAAACAAAUUUUUAAGUAAUUUAAAAAUAGUGUUUAUUUCAUCUUUAUCUCAUACUUUUUCAAUUUCUACUCUGUGUAUGUACGUAUUAGGACAGUAGUACAAUAUACUAUAAAUGAAUGAACAUACAUAUAUUGGGUGCACCUUAAAGUUUUUACUGAUGGGGUGUGCAAUCAAAAAAUGUUCGGAGACCACUGGCCUUGAGCAGCUGUAUGAUACUACAGCUGCUAACCCAAACAUAACUGCUAGCACCAUCCUGUCGCUGAAUUUAUUUUUUUACUGUCAAUCUGAAACAGUCUCCUCAGCAGCAUGUUUCAUGUUUUCAAUAUACGCAUGACAAUUUUUUUUCCACUCAAGCAUGCUGAUAUAACAGAAAUUUUAGAAAGAUGAGGCCUGGCUAACAAGGCCUUGUUGACAGAGCAUCCUUUAGUGGAGUUACACUGAAGUUAUAACUUUGUAUCAGAUACAUAUGAAAUUAUCAUUAAAACAUACACAACUUCUAAAUCAGAUUAAAGCUAUCCUUUCCUUUUUGCAGUUUGGUAGUCUUGUUUUCGUCCUGCACCAGCACUUCUCUUUCACCGCCCCCCACCCCAUCCCCAUGUGAAACCAUGCAACCUCUGCUUGCUGCUUGCCACUUGGUCUCUGUCAGUGCUGCAAGCAGUCCUUGAGCUACACACUCUGGGCCUUGGGAUGCUGCUGAGGGGUCUGGGGACCGUGCCCUACUUGAGCUAGCACCUCAACACUUCAGACUCCUCUUGUGGCCCUUGCUGCAGACACAAAUGCUGAGGAGACACCACAGGGUGGCGGCCUCUGGCCACGCAGAGAUGCAGAUGAAGGUGAAGGUCCGAAAUGGCCACCCAGCAAGUAUCCCAACAUUGCAGUGCAUGUGGUAGCGUGCUGUUUACCAAGGCUUCAAUGGAAGGUUGUGCAUUUUCACGUGCCUAUUCCAGCACUCUUACAACCAACUCCUAAAAAUGUUACCUGCACUGGAAAAAAACAGGAAGAAGACAUGUGUAUCCUGAAUCCACAUACCUGCCUAGAAUCCAGCAGACAUAGAAAAAAUACUUCUGUUUUAAAUAAGAAAGCAGCAUAUCGUAUUUAAAACCACCCAUCUCUGCUUCACUCUGGCUAGUUCUGUUUACACUUGACCUGACACCUGUAUGAUUUAAGAGCGUAUUACUCAGCCAUGAAUUCAGAUGAAGGUAGGCCUAUGAUGCCUGGCUGUAGGGAACAUGAAAGUUUUUAAGAUCAUGUAAUCUGAUCUCAUUUUUAAAUCAUAGAUCAUUUGAAAACAUUGAAAAAGUCCAAUAAUUUACAUCUGAUUACAGCCUAAGGAUACCAAGGGCUACAGCCCAUUUUACAUCCCAUAGUAGGCUGUUAACCAAGGAAUCACCCAUGUUAGGAAUGGAAAAAAUUUCCUUGCAUCACAAGUCUUUCUAGCUUUCAAUUUCUAUCACUUCAUAAUUUUUAUGCCUUGCUCCCCUAAAUCAGAGACCAACACCACCCAAAACUGCGCAGUCAGUCUUUGUUAUGUCAUUUUUAGCAUUCCCUUCAUUUACACUUUAAUCUUGGAGCCUUAAAAAGAAAACCGGCAAUGUGGCACAAUGGGAAGCCCAAAAGAAAACUCUAGGAAAGGACCUCUGGUUUAUCAAGUCUAGUUGCCUAUUAUUCAGACACCACUUUGCAUUUAAUUUCUUUCAUAGAUAUACUUGGCUCUUCCUUCAAAGCAGGUCUCUGCCUGGAAGGCUGUUCCAGAAUUAGUUCUAGUAAUUAGGAACUUUGUUUCUAAUCUAAAUCUUAUUUACAGAAAGUUAUACCCACUUGCUUUUAUUCUAACACUCCUUCAGCCCGGAGUACUUCUGCCCUUCCCCUUGACAUUCAUGUAGAAAAAAAAGUAAUAUUCUGACUCCAUAAACAACUAUACUGCUACAGCAAAAAAAACCCCCCCCAAAAAAACCCCAAAAAACCCCCACAAAACAACAAAAAAAACCCCAAACAAAAAAAAAACCCCCCAAAAAACAAAAAAAAA
ensembl:lncRNA